rnacentral:rRNA from 1 species
CCGGCUAACUUCCGUGCCAGCAGCCGCGGUAAUACGGGGGGUGCAAGCGUUACUUCGGAAUCACUGGGCGUAAAGAGCAUGUAGGCGGAUUAAUAAGUUUGAAGUGAAAUCCUAUAGCUUAACUAUAGAACUGCUUUGAAAACUGUUAAUCUAGAAUGUGGGAGAGGUAGAUGGAAUUUCUGGUGUAGGGGUAAAAUCCGUAGAGAUCAGAAGGAAUACCGAUUGCGAAGGCGAUCUACUGGAACAUUAUUGACGCUGAGAUGCGAAAGCGUGGGGAGCAAACAGGAUUAGAUACCCUGGUAGUCCACGCCCUAAACGAUGUACACUAGUUGUUGUGAGACUUGAUCUUGCAGUAAUGCAGUUAACACAUUAAGUGUACCGCCUGGGGAGUACGGUCGCAAGAUUAAAACUCAAAGGAAUAGACGGGGAACCCGCACAAGCGGUGGAGCAUGUGGGUUUAAUUCGACGAUACACGAAGAACCUUACCUGGACUUGACAUAGUAAGAACUUUCUAGAGAUAGAUUGGUGUCUGCUUGCAGAAACUUAUAUACAGGUGCUGCACGGCUGUCGUCAGCUCGUGUCGUGAGAUGUUGGGUUAAGUCCCGCAACGAGCGCAACCCUCGUGUUUAGUUGCUAACAGUUCGGCUGAGAACUCUAAACAGACUGCCUACGCAAGUAGGAGGAAGGUGAGGACGACGU